CUAGUCUUUAUAGGAUAUCUAUGGGUUUCGCAACUUUACAUUUACACUUACAUUUACAUUUACAUGUAGACGGUAAAACGUCAUCGGUUUUUGUGACGUGUGACGUAAAGAGCACGUCAUAAAAGUGUAGCAGACGGAUAGCAGCCUCCAUAAAUGUAAGUUCACAACACUUAGCUAAACCUUGUUUAAUUUCUAUGAUCAAGUCCAUAAUUGUUCUCUGAAUCGUGGUUUUCACGAACUACAUCCACAGAGAAGACCUUCUCCUAGACAAAAAGGAAGAGACCGAGACAAAACAUGCGUGCUUUAGUAAUUCAACGAUCUAUCCGUGAUGUGCUCUAGAACUGCCCAUGACUAUGGUGCUAUGUAGGCCUAUCGAUAUCAUGGACCUGGCAUAGUCUGUGGCUACCUUGGGAAGGCUUGGUUAUCCUUCACACUCUCUUUUGCAGUGGAAGGAAACCGAAGAACUUGGAGAAAACCCACUAUGUUGGGGAGGGGACCCUAAAUUUAGUAUAGCCUUGCCUCGUAUAACUACAAGCUUAGGAAACCACCUCGCCACUUGACCCGAUGACAGACAUUAUUAUACCCAGUCUUACUUAGUUAGGCCCUCGGAGCUACGGUGCCAUUAACCACUAGCCAUUAUGAUCUAGGCUAAAGCGCACGCGUUAGACCCUCCCCCCAACUAUGUUCUAUUUUUUUGGCGUUACUAAUAUGCCAAGUGGUAGCUCAAAUGCCGUAGGCUAGCCAAAUGAAAUACCGUACUGCGCAUGAAAUCCAUUUUAUAUCUAUCGAUAUUAUAUUUUUCAGCAAAAGUAGAUCAUUUUCCCUCAACAACUGAACAAUAAUGCCGUCUUCUUCACCCGUUGAGCCCCAGAAUGUUAGAUUCUGGCCGGCGUUGGAUAUACUGUUACCUAAAGAAGUGAUCUCGAAGAGACCGAACGACUCAAAGUCAUGGGAUUCGGUGGCAAAGAGCAUCAAUGAGGUUCUGCAGAUCAUACGGCGAAAUUCUCAAGUUUCAGUUAGAGCUUGCAGAAGUCGGAAGCAAGAUUUAUUGCAGAAAUUUAAUAAGGAUGAGUUAUCAUCACUCAGAGCAAAGCAUCCGGUACGGAUGAAGAAUAUGGGGAGAGGGAGCAAUUAUUAACAGAAAUAUGUAGGAAACUGGAGAGAAGGGAAAGGCUUCGGCAUUAGAUAGGAAGAAACAGGAACAGGGGGGAGACGUGAGACGACUGGCAAUGCAGACUCUUACUGGGACCAAACGCACAUCUAUGGAAACUGAGGAAGAUGACACUGUAACACCCACCAAAAAGAGAAAAUCGCACUUGUCAACACCAGCUGCAGACUACAUCACGUUUCUUAGGGAGAAACACGCGGAGGAAUCCAAGUUAAAAUGGGAACAACUAGAGCUAGAAAAGAAGAAACUUGAAUUGGAGAAAGUAGAGAGGGGGGCAAGACU